rnacentral:rRNA from 1 species
UACGAAGGGGGCUAUCGUUGUUCGGAUUUACUGGGCGUACAGCGCACGUAGGCGGAUUGUUAAGUCAGGGGUGAAAUCCCGGAGCUCAACUCCGGAACUGCCUUUGAUACUGGCAAUCUUGAGUCUGGAAGAGGUUAGUGGAAUUCCCAGUGUAGAGGUGAAAUUCGUAGAUAUUGGGAAGAACACCAGUGGCGAAGGCGGCUAACUGGUCCAGAUCUGACGCUGAGGUGCGAAAGCGUGGGGAGCAAACAGG